ACGGGGGGUGCUAGCGUUGUUCGGAAUCAUUGGGCGUAAAGAGCGUGUAGGCGGCUGGAUAAGUCAGAUGUGAAAGCCCUGGGCUUAACCCAGGAAGUGCAUUUGAAACUGUUCAGCUUGAGUAAGGGAGAGGAAAGUGGAAUUCCUGGUGGUGAGGUGAAAUUCGUAUCUAUCAGGAGGAGAGGCGGUGGAGAAAGUGACUGUUUAGCAAUAUUCUCAUUCUGUGACUUGUGUGUGAGGGUUGGUGAUAG
rnacentral:rRNA from 1 species